GUUUUGACUAAUUUUUUGAAGAGAAAAAAAAGAAGAAAUAAGAAUUAAGAAACAACUCUCAAUAAGCCAAUGUAGUGAUUUAUAAGUAUGAUGAUCGAUUAAGUUCGAGUUACACUAGCGGUCUAGUCACGCUAUAAUCACGACUUGGUCGCAGAAGCUUCAAACAUUAUUCAAUACUCUGAAGUGUAACUUGCACAUGAAUGUUGACGAGUACUGGAUCAUCGAAAAACAAGGUUUAUUCUCAUGAUUCAAGGUUUUUAAACUCAGACGUGUGAAUUCUGUGCUAUUCUUUUGUUUUGUUUCAGAUGUUUAUAUUUCCUGGUAAUUUUGAUAUCUUAAUUUCUUGAAUAUUUUUUUUUAAUUUUAUUAAAUUCUAGUUUCUACGUUAUUGUAUUAUUCCUUUUCUCGCUUUGCGUGUUCUAUUACAUAAUUCAAAUAACAAUUUUAAAAUAAGAGAUUCAACAUUAAUCUUAAUCUUAACUUAAUUGAUUUCAGAAGAUAUAAUUAAAUUUAAUAUACGUAAUAUGUUAUAGAGAGUCACGUACUUAGUUGGCUUUGUUUCAGAAAUGAAAACAAGUAUGAUUUGCUUUCUAUGCAACACGUGCAAGUAUUAUAUACAAUGGUUUCCGGUUAAAACAAGUCGAUAACAGAAACCGAUAUAAAAAAAAACAAACACAUCUUCUGCAAAAUAUUACCAGAGAUUAAUCUUCGAACUCAAUCAUUUUCUGUUCACAAAAGAAACAGCACUAUUUUCUAAUUAUUUAUAUAAAACAAAAAAAUAUCAUAAGCAGAAGAAAAGACAGUAUCUUUCUUAUUUUCAAAGCUCAAUCUCAUCAAACAACCAUGUUAAGUCUUACCAAAUCAGUCUCAACUAAGGAUUAACUGAUGAAAGAAGUAUACAGGUAUCGAGAAAGGGAAAUGAGCACAAAGGUCAACGGGAUUCCUGUACCAAAUAAGUUCUGAGGAAAAGAAGCAUUCCAUAUGGCAUACUUGUUGAUUGUGGAAAUUAUGUAUUACUCCCAUCUGAUAGUGCACGAUCAGAAAGCUAUAAUCAUUCUUUAUACUAUACGAGUGGAGAUGGUACAAAUAGCAUAACUGUAUGUACGGAUCUUCUGCUCGGGAGUGACGGGGAGCAAGCCGACAUUUUUAUUCUAAUGCGUGCUCACCGGCUGCGUUCACCAAGGUAAACGCGCUCGGAACGCUGGUGAAAAUAACAGAGCUCGGUACGUCAUAUGCCUCUCUAUCGACUACACUACUGAUUUUACUGUGUGGAAAUUGCAACAAUACAAGAGACCAAUAUUAGUUGGAUUAAUUUAUAAAAAUUUAAUAUUACAUUUGGGUUGCUGCAAUUAGAAACACAUUAAACACUUGAUACAUCAAAACAUUAUACAUCAGACCAAAGUGUAAAUCUAAACAGAGAGUUUGGAUUAAAAGCAACGCCAUCGAAUCGACUAUUUGAGAAAUCCUCGGCGUCAUAAUGAUGGAUCACGACGAGUUUUUCUUCUUGGACAUCGUCCAAAGAUGAUAUGUACAUUUUGACUGUCUCCGUGUUAAAUCGGAUAUUUGUGUCAAUUGAUGUUUUUUGACCGUGAAUAUUUUCUUCACGGUCCAAUAAAUUAAAUUUUACAAAGCAACGAUCUAUUGAGUCGAUUUUUUUUUUCAUUAAUUUAUUCCAAAAU